rnacentral:rRNA from 1 species
CAGCAGCCACGGUAAUACGUAGGUGGCAAGCGUUGUCCGGAAUUAUUGGGCGUAAAGCGCGCGCAGGCGGAUAGGUCAGUCUGUCUUAAAAGUUCGGGGCUUAACCCCGUGAUGAGAUGGAAACUGCCAAUCUAGAGUAUCGGAGAGGAAAGUGGAAUUCCUAGUGUAGCGGUGAAAUGCGUAGAUAUUAGGGAGAACACCAGUGGCGAAGGCGACUUUCUGGACGAAAACUGACGCUGAGGCGCGAAAGCCAGGGGAGCGAAUGGGAUUAGAUACCCGCGUAGUCCCUGUCUCUUAUACA